rnacentral:rRNA from 1 species
GAUGAACGCUGGCGGCGUGCCUAAUACAUGCAAGUCGAGCGAACGGACGAGAAGCUUUCUUCUCUGAUGUUAUCGGCGGUCGGGUGAGUAACACGUGGAUAACCUACCUAUAAGACUGGGAUAACUUCGGGAAACCGUAUCUACUACCGGAUAAUAUUUUGAACCUCAUUGUUCAAAAGUUAAAGACGCUCUUUCUUUCACUUAUAGCUUGAUCCGCGCUGAAUUAGUUAGUUGGUAAGGUAACGGCUUACCAAGGCAACGAUGCAUAGUCGACCUGAGAGGGUGAAUGGACAGACUGGAACUGAGAAACGGUCCAGACUCCUAAGGGAGGAAGCAGUAGGGAAUCUUACGCAAGGGGCGAAAGCCUGAUGUAGCAAAGCCGCGGGAGGGAUGAAGGACUUAGGAUCGGAAAACUAUGUUAUUAGGGAAGAACAUAUGUGUAAGUAACUGUGAACAUCUUGACGGUACCUAAUCAGAAAGCCACGGCUAACUACGUG